GCCUGGGUAGCUCAGUCGGUUGAGCGUCCGACUUUGGCUCAGGUCAUGAUCUCACAGCUCGUGAGUUCAAGCCCCACGUCGGGCU
rnacentral:tRNA from 1 species